rnacentral:rRNA from 1 species
UACAGAGGUCUCAAGCGUUGUUCGGAUUCAUUGGGCGUAAAGAGCUCGUAGGUGGUUCGGUAAGUCGGGUGUGAAACCUCCAGGCUCAACCUGGAGACGCCACCCGAUACUGCUGUGACUGGAGUCCGGUAGGGGAGCGUGGAAUUCCUGGUGUAGCGGUGAAAUGCGCAGAUAUCAGGAGGAACACCAGCGGCGAAGGCGGCGCUCUGGGCCGGUACUGACACUGAGGAGCGAAAGCGUGGGUAGCAAACAGG